rnacentral:lncRNA from 1 species
GGCCCCCGAGGGUGGGGGACAGGGCGACGCCCGCGGGGACCACGCUCUGGGGCGUGCGGGGCGCAAUUCACGGGGCUGGGCUGCCCCAGGGGCUGGGAGGAAGGAGGCAGGGGGGCGCCCAAGUCUCCUACCCAUGGCAGCGCAUCAGGGCGCGUCCCAGAGCCGGGGGUGGACGGAGGCUUGGAGGCGGAGGCUUUGGGGACCCCCAAGCCUGGGCUAGAGCAGCCUCGGCGGGCUCUAGA